UACGGAGGGUGCAAGCGUUGUUCGGAAUCAUUGGGCGUAAAGCGCGUGUAGGCGGCUUGGCAAGUCGGUUGUGAAAGCCCGGGGCCCAACCCCGGAACUGCAUCUGAAACUGCCUGGCUAGAGUCCCGGAGAGGAAGGCAGAAUUCCCGGUGUAGGGGUGAAAUCCGUAGAUAUCGGGGAGGAAUACCAGCGGCGAAGGCGGCCUUCUGGACGGUGACUGACGCUGAGACGCGAAAGCGUGGGAGCAAACAGG
rnacentral:rRNA from 1 species